rnacentral:misc_RNA from 1 species
UACUUCAGGAAUUGAAGCAAUAAACCCUCCAACUUUACCUGGUAUAUAACAGAUUGUUAGGAAGAAGUUAAAGAACGACAGUAACAGGGUGAGAAAAGAAACAUUCUAAACAGUCUUCUCACUACGUUGUUAUGUUUUAUUUCUAUUAGUAAAAUUCCUUAUCCAACAAGCUGUGUCAUACGCGGAUUUAAAAACAGGAGCUCUAAUGAGAACUUAUGAGAUUAAUGAGAAUGAGGCGCAAGCAAACUGCUCCCACCCCAACUACCAUCCAAUCCCCCUCCCACCUUGCUAUCCGAAAAUAGCUAAAUCAAUAAAUCCAAACUCAUUAACAAGGCAGAUAUUGUUAGUGAUGUUAUUGAGAGUACUGUGGACCAAAAACAUUUAUCAAAUACAAAUAACCAAUUUCAAAUGCUGAGAAUGUUUUUUGCAGGACAUCUGUAGUACAAUGCAGAUGUAUUACAUUGUCUAUCUUUUUGCAAAUCAAAUAUCCUUUAGCAUUCAAAUUGUGAUGUAUGCUUUUGACAGACAAUGGAAAAAGAUAUCAGGUUUUUAUGCUCUGAUGAGGAAACUUAUAGAAUAAAAACAUGAUAUGAUAACACGUACCUACAAGGGACAAAAGAAUCAGAACGCAUGCACCUAAUUCAACUGCUCUGCGACUUCCCAUUUUAGUCACAGCAAUAGUGUGCACAUUCUCAGUUAGGGUUGUAGAGCCAGUUCCAGUACCCCAAAGA